AAGCAAUAAAGAAAAUGUAGGAACUCCUAGUAAACCCAAAGAAGAAAGUUUAAAAACCUACAACCCCAUCACUCAUGCAUAAACAUGCUCUUUUAGGUCACAGACCCUCUGAGAAUCGGACAAGAGCCGAAGACGCACAAAAGAUGCACAGAGAAACAUCUUCCUAAGAUGUCAGGAGGCCACAGAUUCUCUCUAGCCUCUGCAUAGGAGUCAUGACCACAGUUUAACACUCUCCAUGCUUCAUGAAUUAUCAGAUGAAGAGGGGCCUUGGAUUCCCCUGGACUGAAGAGGAGGGUCACAUCCAAAGCCCAGACCUUCCUUUUUUUAAUCUGAAUAUUUUUGUGUGGGUCAUUUCAGCUUAGUUAGCAGUUUCGAAAGGGAUCUGUACGGGUUUAGUAUUUAAUUUCUUGAAAAAGUAAACUAUUUUUACUUUGUUUUGUUUUAAAAUGUUUAAGUUUUUAAAUUUAUGUAAUUCCAAACUUACAGAAAAGUAACAUGAACAAUACAAGGAACACCUAU
rnacentral:lncRNA from 1 species